rnacentral:lncRNA from 1 species
AUCUGCUUCUAAGUUCAUUCAGGUACACGGAGCGCCUUCUUUUCGUUUAGAGCAUUGGUGUCUCCACAUUAGAAGCAUCCUAUGUAGCUGUUCUGCUUGCAGCUGCCCAAGUCUGCCUGGGCCUCCUGCAUGAGGUCAUGAGUCUUAAUAAAGCCACUGACCCACACAUUUGGAAUCGUACUGACUUUUCACAACUAACAGCCAACACAUUGCCAAGAAGCAAUUCAAUUGUUGAGGAUAUCACAUCAUGCCAGGGAAAGAGAGAUGGAAUUCAGAAAGCCUGGGAUAUUGCAGGUAAUUACUAAAGCGUGUAGUUUAUAGAUCAAUUUGCUCCAUCUACUCAAAUCCAAAUAGUCUAGGACCUCAACUGCAUGAAAAUCUCUGUAAAUAUUUGUGUUAAAAGCCCCUUGGUAAACAUUCCCUGUGGUGCAUUUGGAGCCCAGGCAAUAAAAGAUGUUUUGUUUCAGUGCCUUCUUCCCACGAUUUUAAAAGGAAAUGGGAGAACUGUGCAGUCACACUGACAUCCCGCAUCCACGCGGAAUCUGCUCAGCCA